UCAAAGGUGGCAACCCUAGCUGUGGCAGCUACAGGAUCUACUCUUAGGUGCUGGGAGAUGCAUCCCUGAUUCAGUUUAUGUGGCUCUGGACCCUGAUACAGCACACCGCCGGCUCAUCCUGUCUGCGGAGGGGAAACGAGUGAGAUGGGGAGA